rnacentral:lncRNA from 10 species
CUGAGGAGACGAUACAGGAAGAGGGGCUGGGAGAAGCAAAGGAAAAAGGAACAGAUGGGGAACUAAGGUAUAAAAUAAGUUCAACACUGGCAACCAUCUGAUAACCACAGAGAAAUGAGACUGAGGAUAAAACUAAUCUAAAGAGGAUACCAACGAAGCUGUAACCCUCCAGUUACAUAAACCAGUGUCCUGAGGGAGAAGCUGGUGCCCUUUAUCACACAGCUAACAACGCUCCUGGCCCAUGGAUCAGAGAAGUUGAAGGAAAAUACAGAGGAAGUUCUAACAGUGGCAGACCUAAUUACUGCACCAUGCCAAGCAGGCGCUGGGAACAGCCUUUGGCUGACAGCCAGCAAGGAAAUGGGGACUUCAGUGCUACAACUUCAAGGAACUAAAUUUUGCCAACAAAUGUGAAUAAGCUUCCAAGUGGAUUCUUCCCCAGAGCCUCCAAAUAAGAGCCCAGCCUGGCUUUCAUCUUGAUUUCAUCUCUUUGAGACUCCAAGCAGAGAAGCUGGUCAGGCCCCCACCACUUCCUCCACCCAUCAGACCUCUGACCUACAGAACUAUCAGAAGAAAGGAAUGGAAUCUGAGCUAACCUACCAUGUUUGUACUGGAAGUCCUGCCAACAGCAUUUAAGGAGGCCUGCCUCUCCUGCAGUCAGGUGUGACCAAAGGAGUAUGAGUGAAAGUAAUGUGUGCCUCUACAAAACCUGACGCAUAUGAAGAAACAAACCAUCCAUCCACACCUGAUCCUUGUCUUCUCCAUCUGCCAGCUGAAUGGAGAGAAACAAAGAACUCCUGCUGACCCACACUGGACUAUGACAUGAGCAAGAAGCACACUUUUAUUAUGUUAAGCCACUAAUAUUUUGGGAUUAUUUGUUAGAGCAAUGGAAUCUAUCAUGAUGAAUACAUUUUUUAACAUUCUCAUAUCUUUUCUUUUUUUUUGGCUAAAAUUGAUCCAUAUUCUGCGUACUUGCUUUUGUCACUGAACAUCAUGUAAAUUUUUCCAAAUCUAUUAGUAUAGAGGCUACUCAUUCUUUUUAAUAGGGGUGUAAUAAUCCUAUAUGUAUUGCAGUAUAUAUUUAAUAUGUUAUUAUAUUCAAUAAUUAUGACAGAUGAGUAUUUCUUUGUUUUUAGAUUCUUACUUCUAUAAAUGAUGCUGCAAUAAAUAUUCUUAUACAUCCCCA